GAGUUUGAUCCUGGCUCAGAGUGAACGCUGGCGGCGUGCCUAACACAUGCAAGUCGAACGAGAACGGACUUAAGUUUACUUAAGUUGUCAGCUAAGUGGCGCACGGGUGAGUAAUAUAUAGUUAACCUGCCUCAAAGAAGAGAACAAUUGUUGGAAACGACUUGUAAUGCUCUAUAUGCCUUUAUCACAUAAGUGAGCAAGGGAAAUAUUUAUAGCUUUGAGAUGGGACUGUACGGUAUCAGAUAGUUGGUGAGGUAAUGGCUCACCAAGUCUAUGACGCCUAACUGGUUUGAGAGGAUGAUCAGUCACACUGGAACUGAGACACGGUCCAGACUCCUACGGGAGGCAGCAGUGGGGAAUAUUGCACAAUGGAGGAAGCUCUGAUGCAGCAACGCCGCGUGGAGGAUGACACAUUUCGGUGCGUAAACUCCUUUUCUUAGGGAAGAUAAUGACGGUACCUAAUGAAUAAGCACCGGCUAACUCCGUGCCAGCAGCCGCGGUAAUACGGGGGGUGCAAGCGUUACUCGGAAUCACUGGGCGUAAAGAGCAUGUAGGCUGAUUAGUAAGUUGGAAGUGAAAUCCUAUGGCUCAACCAUAGAACUGCUUCCAAAACUGCUUAUCUAGAGUAUGGGAGAGGUAGAUGGAAUUUCUGGUGUAGGGGUAAAAUCCGUAGAGAUCAGAAGGAAUACCGAUUGCGAAGGCGAUCUACUGGAACAUUACUGACGCUGAGAUGCGAAAGCGUGGGGAGCAAACAGGAUUAGAUACCCUGGUAGUCCACGCCCUAAACGAUGCACACUAGUUGUUGCUAUGCUAGACAUAGCAGUAAUGCAGUUAACACAGUAAGUGUGCCGCCUGGGGAGUACGGUCGCAAGAUUAAAACUCAAAGGAAUAGACGGGGACCCGCACAAGCGGUGGAGCAUGUGG
rnacentral:rRNA from 1 species